GACACGACCGUACCGCAAACCGACACUGGUGCGCGAGAUGAGUAUUCUAAGGCGCUUGAGAGAACUCAGGAGAAGGAACUCGGCAAAUUGACACCGUAACUUCGGAAGAAGGUGUGCCUUUAGUAGGUGAACCAUUUACUUGGGGAGCCCAAUGAGGCUGCAAAAAAUCGGUGGCUGCAACUGUUUAUUAAAAACACAGCACUCUGCUAAGACGAAAGUCGACGUAUAGGGUGUGACGCCUGCCGGUGCUGGAAGAUUAAAUGAUGGGGUGCAAGCUCUUGAUUGAAGUCCCAGUAAACGGCGGCCGUAACUAUAACGGUCCUAAGGUAGCGAAAUUCCUUGUCGGGUAAGUUCCGACCUGCACGAAUGGCGUAAUGAUGGCCACACUGUCUCCUCCUGAGACUCAGCGAAGUUGAAAUGUUUGUGAUGAUGCAAUCUCCCCGCGGAAAGACGGAAAGACCCCAUGAACCUUUACUGUAGCUUUGUAUUGGACUUUGAACAGAUCUGUGUAGGAUAGGUGGGAGGCUUUGAAGUGUGGUCGCUAGAUCGCAUGGAGCCAACGUUGAAAUACCACCCUGGUGUGUUUGAGGUUCUAACCUAGGUCCAUUAUCUGGAUCGGGGACAGUGCAUGGUAGGCAGUUUGACUGGGGCGGUCUCCUCCCAAAGUGUAACGGAGGAGUUCGAAGGUACGCUAGGUACGGUCGGACAUCGUGCUAAUAGUGCAAUGGCAUAAGCGUGCUUAACUGCGAGACUGACAAGUCGAGCAGAUGCGAAAGCAGGACAUAGUGAUCCGGUGGUUCUGUAUGGAAGGGCCAUCGCUCAACGGAUAAAAGGUACUCUGGGGAUAACAGGCUGAUACCGCCCAAGAGUUCAUAUCGACGGCGGUGUUUGGCACCUCGAUGUCGGCUCAUCUCAUCCUGGGGCUGUAGCCGGUCCCAAGGGUAUGGCUGUUCGCCAUUUAAAGAGGUACGUGAGCUGGGUUUAAAACGUCGUGAGACAGUUUGGUCCCUAUCUUCCGUGGGCGCUGCAGAUUUGAGGAAGCCUGCUCCUAGUACGAGAGGACCGGAGUGGACGAACCUCUGGUGUAUCGGUUGUCACGCCAGUGGCAUUGCCGAGUAGCUAAGUUCGGAAGAGAUAACCGCUGAAAGCAUCUAAGCGGGAAACUCGUUUCAAGAUUAGAUCUGCCGGGGCCUUGAGCCCCCUAAAGAGUCGUUCAAGACCAGGACGUUGAUAGGUCAGGUGUGGAAGUGAAAAAAAA
rnacentral:rRNA from 1 species